rnacentral:rRNA from 1 species
UACGAAGGGGGGCUAGCGUUUGCCUCGGAAUCACUGGGCGUAAAGGGUGCGUAGGCGGGUCUUUAAGUCAGGGGUGAAAUCCUGGAGCUCAACUCCAGAACUGCCUUUGAUACUGAGGAUCUUGAGUUCGGGAGAGGUGAGUGGAACUGCGAGUGUAGAGGUGAAAUUCGUAGAUAUUCGCAAGAACACCAGUGGCGAAGGCGGCUCACUGGCCCGA